rnacentral:rRNA from 1 species
UCCUGGCUCAGGACGAACGCUGGCGGCGUGGCUCUUACUGCAGUCGACGGAAGGUCUCUUCGGAGAUACUCGAGUGGCCAACGGGUGAGUAACACGUGGGUGAUCUGCCCUGCACUUCGGGAUAAGCCUGGGAAACUGGGUCUAAUACCGGAUAGGACCACGGGAUGCAUGUCUUGUGGUGGAAAGCGCUUUAGCGGUGUGGGAUGAGC